rnacentral:rRNA from 1 species
GAUGAACGCUAGCGGGAGGCCUAACACAUGCAAGCCGAGCGGCAUUGUUUCUUCGGAAAUGAGAGAGCGGCGUACGGGUGCGUAACACGUGUGCAACCUGCCUUUAUCUGGGGGAUAGCCUUUCGAAAGGAAGAUUAAUACUCCAUAACAUAUUGAACGGCAUCGUUUAAUAUUGAAAGCUCCGGCGGAUAGAGAUGGGCACGCGCAAGAUUAGCUAGUUGGUGAGGUAACGGCUCACCAAGGCGAUGAUCUUUAGGGGGCCUGAGAGGGUGAUCCCCCACACUGGUACUGAGACACGGACCAGACUCCUACGGGAGGCAGCAGUGAGGAAUAUUGGUCAAUGGGUGCAAGCCUGAACCAGCCAUCCCGCGUGAAGGACGACUGCCCUAUGGGUUGUAAACUUCUUUUGUAUAGGGAUAAACCUACCCUCGUGAGGGUAGCUGAAGGUACUAUACGAAUAAGCACCGGCUAACUCCGUGCCAGCCGCCGCAGUAAAAC